rnacentral:lncRNA from 1 species
GGGACGAUCAGCGAUGCACUUGAUCUGAGCGUCUAUGUGUCACAGCAAAUAUCUACCCAGCUAUCCCAGACUCAUCUGUCAUCUUUCAACCAUCUAUCUACAACUACACAAGGAAUUGUUCAAAUGCACAUACUACUUUAGCUUUUAGUGUUCAAAUAUUAACUCCCAGCUACCUUCCUUCUGUACUUUCCUCUCUGUGACUCUCCAGCACUAACUACCCAAGCCUCAUUGCUCUGUGAGGGUUGUGAGCAUAUUCUCACAUAAAGAUUUUGCAACAUCCCUUCCACUGGACCAGGAAGUGGGUCCCAUGGUAUAUCUUCUCCCCUUGACCCCUCUAAAAUUUUAGAAUGUCAUUUCAAGCCAUCCAACUUAAACUUUUAUCAUCAAUUAUAUGGCUCCCAUUCUCACAGUAUUUAAUCAUCAUCCAACAUAGUAUGCAACAUGUCUGACACGAUUCCUGUAUCAACCUUUAGAAUAAAGUUCCAUUAUAUCAGU